rnacentral:rRNA from 1 species
AGAGUUUGAUCCUGGCUCAGGAUGAACGCUGGCGGCGUGCUUAACACAUGCAAGUCGAGCGAAGCGCUUAAGUUUGAUUCUUCGGAUGAAGACUUUUGUGACUGAGCGGCGGACGGGUGAGUAACGCGUGGGUAACCUGCCUCAUACAGGGGGAUAACAGUUAGAAAUGACUGCUAAUACCGCAUAAGACCACAGGGUCGCAUGACCCGGUGGUAAAAACUCCGGUGGUAUGAGAUGGACCCGCGUCUGAUUAGCUAGUUGGUGGGGUAACGGCUCACCAAGGCGACGAUCAGUAGCCGACCUGAGAGGGUGACCGGCCACAUUGGGACUGAGACACGGCCCAAACUCCUACGGGAGGCAGCAGUGGGGAAUAUUGCACAAUGGGCGAAAGCCUGAUGCAGCGACGCCGCGUGAAGGAUGAAGUAUUUCGGUAUGUAAACUUCUAUCAGCAGGGAAGAAAAUGACGGUACCUGACUAAGAAGCCCCGGCUAACUACGUGCCAGCAGCCGCGGUAAUACGUAGGGGGCAAGCGUUAUCCGGAUUUACUGGGUGUAAAGGGAGCGUAGACGGCAUGGCAAGUCUGAAGUGAAAGCCCGGGGCUCAACCCCGGGACUGCUUUGGAAACUGUCAGGCUAGAGUGCUGGAGAGGUAAGUGGAAUUCCUAGUGUAGCGGUGAAAUGCGUAGAUAUUAGGAGGAACACCAGUGGCGAAGGCGGCUUACUGGACAGUAACUGACGUUGAGGCUCGAAAGCGUGGGGAGCAAACAGGAUAAGAUACCCUGGUAGUCCACGCCGUAAACG